rnacentral:rRNA from 1 species
CUACGGGUCGCUGCAGUGGGGAAUAUUGGACAACGGGGGAAACCCUGAUCCAGCAAUGCCGCGUGUGUGAAGAAGGCCUGCGGGUUGUAAAGCACUUUCGGUUGGGAGGACUGCUUCUAGCACUAAUAUUGUUGGAAGUUGACGUUACCUUCAGAAGAAGCACCGGCUAACUCCGUGCCAGCAGCCGCGGUAAUACGGAGGGUGCAAGCGUUAAUCGGAAUUACUGGGCGUAAAGCGCGCGUAGGCGGCUAGAUCAGUCGGGUGUGAAAGCCCCGGGCUUAACCUGGGAACUGCAUCCGAUACUGUCUAGCUUGAGGACAGGAGAGGAGAGUGGAAUUCCACAUGUAGCGGUGAAAUGCGUAGAUAUGUGGAGGAACACCAAUGGCGAAGGCAGCUCUCUGGCCUGAUACUGACGCUGAGGUGCGAAAACGUGGGGAGCAAACAGGAUUAGAUACCCUUGUAGUC